AUAGAGGCUGUGAACGGAAAGAGUAGUUUUUAUGAAGCUGAAAGAGAAGGAUUAUCGUCGGCUGAAAGUAAUCCUGAGCUAGUGGAAAUGAAGUGCCUCCGGGAGCCUGUUUUGCAAAAGGGGAGUGACCCAAGUAGUGAAGCACGCCUGGCAUACGUUACAUGCAUUGAGUGGAGGGCAACCUUCAUAAGAGUGGAACCACGGAAGAUAUUUCGUCUCUUGU
rnacentral:ncRNA from 1 species